rfam:Populus trichocarpa scaffold_15_contig_213, whole genome shotgun sequence.
ACGACCUUACUUGAACAGGAUCUGUUCUAUAGGAUCGUACCUCUGUAUCCUUAAUCACUAAGGAGACAGGAACUUAAACCUGGUUGAGAAAUCAUACCGUGUGAUCAUAACAUGAUUUGGACUAAAGGAGGUUCAACCUAUUUUAGAAGUGUCGACAAGCAGAACCACCUUGUUAUUGAUGUGGGUCUUGAUGAUAGGUC